CACUGCCUAGAGGCCAGUUCUGUCCUCCUGCUGCAGUCUCCUUCUCAAACCCUUGUGUGAAGUGGGGAGGCCUUUCUCUCCAGGGAUCCUCAGACCUGCAAAGAGACACUGGCACCUCCAGCUGAUUCCCCAAAGAUGUUUGCAGCUCUGGUUCAGCAGGAGGAAAGGGGCCCCACCCUGGUCUCCUGCUCCCUCUUGCCUACCUUUGCCGCACUCGCCACUGCUAGACAGCAGGUGAAGCCCAAGACUGCCAGCUCCAGGUGCCCCAUGAUGUGUGCCUGCCUCUGGGUGCCCCUCCCGCUG